rnacentral:rRNA from 1 species
GAUGAACGCUAGCUACAGGCUUAACACAUGCAAGUCGAGGGGCAGCAUGACCUAGCAAUAGGUUGAUGGCGACCGGCGCACGGGUGAGUAACACGUAUCCAACCUGCCGAUUAUUCCGGGAUAGCCUUUCGAAAGAAAGAUUAAUACUGGAUAGCAUAACGAGAAGGCAUCUUCUUGUUAUUAAAGAAUUUCGAUAAUCGAUGGGGAUGCGUUCCAUUAGUUUGUUGACGGGGUAACGGCCCACCAAGACAUCGAUGGAUAGGGGUUCUGAGAGGAAGGUCCCCCACAUUGGAACUGAGACACGGUCCAAACUCCUACGGGAGGCAGCAGUGAGGAAUAUUGGUCAAUGGACGAGGGUCUGAACCAGCCAAGUAGCGUGAAGGAGGACUGCCCUAUGGGUUGUAAACUUCUUUUAUAUGGGAAUAAAGUGGGCCACGUGUGGCUUUUUGUAUGUACCAUACGAAUAAGGAUCGGCUAACUCCGUG